UGAUGAUGAUGAUGGUGAUGAUGAUGAUGGUGGUGGUGGUGGUGGUGGUGAUUAUUAUUAUUAUUAUUAUCAUCAUCAUCAUCAUCAGCAGCAGCA
rnacentral:pre_miRNA from 1 species